rnacentral:rRNA from 1 species
UACAGAGGGGGCAAGCGUUGUUCGGAAUUACUGGGCGUAAAGGGCGCGUAGGCGGCCUGCUAAGUCGAACGUGAAAUCCCUGGGCUCAACCCAGGAACUGCGUCCGAUACUGGUUGGCUUGAAUCCGGGAGAGGGAUGUGGAAUUCCAGGUGUAGCGGUGAAAUGCGUAGAUAUCGCUUGGAACGCCGAAGGUGAAAACAGGUCGCUGGGGAUGUGCCGACGCUGAGACACGAAAGCCAGGGGAGCAAACGGG